GUGCCGUGUAUCCCUAUUCAGUUGGACUAUUGCCGCUGGCAUCUGCAGCUCUGCUCAAGGUAGGCUAGUUCAUGGCUGAUGCAGCUAGUGUGUGGUUUUAGAACUAGCUUUUCAGAUAAGCCUGGACGUCCGCGAAGUGGGCUUCGAUAUACAGACAUGUCAGGGCGGUUAACACAGUAUGUCAGCGAGCAUGGUAUAGCUACUACCUCUGGUUUAACAACAAUGUGGCUUUCUAUUUGCUAUAUGAUUGCAGCUAUGAAAAAAAGGAAGGAGACGUCCAGGACUGAACAGCUGUCACCUGUCACAGUGCAGUGCACCGACUGACUGACGCUAUUUGCUUGGAUGUUGCUGAAAGAAAGGAGGCAUUCUUCAUUGUGCAGCACUAGCCUACUGUGGAGGCCGAGAGAGUUUUGACGAGGCUUCUGUACCCAGGAGGCGGAGGCAGCAAUGCCAGCUUCAAUGCGCACAGUCCUUUAAAAGGGACACCCAGCUAAGAUUUUAUUGCAAAUUCUACACAGAAUGCACUGCUCUACACAUUUGGUUUUGGAAACACUGUGUAUUAUUGUAAGUGUACACCAGGGGUGGGGAACCUUUUUCAUUUGAAGGGCCACUUCAAAUUACUCUGAGGGCCGUGAAAGUCCUCCGAGGGCCGUACAAUUAACACAAAGGAUUUCCCCCUGCACUCUAGGCCUAUAUGGAAUGCAGCCACCUUAAAACAGACCUUAACUUCUAUAUGUCCCCUGAAUGUAACUUUCAUUGUAUUGCAAAUGUUUCUUUUACAAAAUAUGCCAUAUUUCAUAUGAAGCUGCAUAAUAUUAAAAUUGUCUCAGGGGCUGGAUAAAACGGCCUCAAGGGCCGCAAACGGCCCUCCAGACAUAGGUUCCCCACCCCUGGUUUACACCAAUACAGCAAAUUCAUGGUGACACUACAAUGACCUCAGCUAUUUGGUUGUUUCUAGUGUUUAGGUACUGUCACAAAGCAGUCUUACAAACACAUUUAUUUAUCUCUGUAUCAACAUUGAGGUUCUCAUAUUACCUUUCCCCGUUCUAUUCCCAAGUAAAAAUGUGCUCAUAGAAACAACUUGAAGGCAUAAUGCCCUUCACUUUCAACGUGGGUCUUCUUUGUAAACUUUGAAAGUGUAUAUUGAAAAAGUAGGCUAUAUUAUUUUUCUAUAUUAGUAAAUAAUGAGUUUUCCAUAAUGUGCAAUGCUUGAAAGUGUUUCCCAGUGUGUUGUUACCCAAUAUUUGUUCCAUUUUUUGUCCAUGUUUUUGAAUAAUAUCCCUUCCUGCCUUUUUUGACUGUAUGAUAACAUGUCUGUUAUAUUGCUCUAUUUUAUAUUUAAAUGCAAUCAUCUUUGUUGUGUGAAAAGUGUGAAAACAAAAUGGGAA